AUGAUGAGGACGGUCUUCAGUGUGGUUUUUCUCAGCUCGCUUUUUGUAAUCAAAAGUGAAGCACUGCAAUGUUAUACUUGUGUAGGGUCAAGUGAAGAAGAGUGUAACCGACAAGGAAUUCAGCGAUGUCCGGGACAAUCGGAUGCGUGUUCCCUCAUCAGAGGGCAAGGAAACGCUGUUAUGAAGUCCUGUUCAUUCAAAUCAUUCUGUGACCAGGCAAGGAGGGAAGGAUCCAAAGUGCCAGGGAUGAGUGUUCAUUGCUGUUAUUCAGACAACUGCAAUGCAAAAAGCCUGGGUUCAAGAAGCACCAUCUCUGCAAGCUACUUACCUCUCUUGGUCUCUGCAAUGCUGUGGCACCUGCUAUUUAACGUGAAGUGAAAUGAAAAAUUAGUACCCCAAAGCUACAAGACUGCCUUUUUAGAAUAAAAUGAUAAAGAAAUUCUAAAAAUGUUACUUG
rnacentral:lncRNA from 1 species